rnacentral:lncRNA from 1 species
GCGGCGCCAAUCACGUUCGUUUAUCAUACCGCGGCAAUUCAGUGUGAGAGGAAGCAGGAGGAGACAGAUGAGCAACAGGUCGGUUUUUAUCUAUUUUCGCUGGUUCUUCACUAAUACAAACGGACAACUUUAUGUAACAAACUUUAUUGAACUCAUAGGAGCCCGUUACUAGUCUGUGGUGAUUUGAGGAGGGCUGUAGAUGUGAAGAUUGAACUGUGGACUGGUGAGCAGAAUUGUUUGUCUUGAUAGCUUAGCCACCUCCAUUCAGAUGAAUGGAUGGUGUUAGCUGGAUGAUGCCAAUGCUUAACUCUAAAAUGUGAUUGCUAAUAUGUAACAUUGAUUCCUGAAUCAAAUGUAUGGAAUGAAAUGAGUAUAUAAUAUAAAUGCUGUAAAUUUUAUUUAUUUGGACUAAUGGCAAGUGCUAUACUGUGGAUUAUGAUGAUUAUGUUGCGAUUGAAAUGAACUGCAGUACUUUGAUUGAAAAGACACAUGUAUACACUGCAAUUCAAGCAAUGUAUAUUGAUUGUGACAUUGUGAUUUACUUGAACCCUGGCUUUACAGGCCAAAGGAAGUGACCUACAGACCCAGGAAGCCCACAUCUCUCUGCCAGGCUGGUAGGGGCUCCUUGUAGCCGCAACACUCUCACCCCACUGUACAGCCCAUCAAUCCAGACACACACACACACACUCCACCCAACAUUUUCCCUUUUCCUCCCAAUCCUCUGGACUCACACCUUUGCACCCAGACGUGGGUUGUUGUGUUGUGAGGAACUAUUGGUGGCCAAGUGCCCAUUACUUAUUUGGUCAUCGUGUUGUUUGACUAACUGAUUGAACUGAUUUACAUUGUCUGACUUCACUGAUUUAUUGCACUGUACUUCUGUUAUCAUUUCCAUGUUAUGUAUGUCCUUGUAUGUCACUGUAAAUAAUUGCACUGUGGUUAUUAGUCAUCUGCUUGCUUAAAUAUAUG